rnacentral:rRNA from 1 species
AGUUUGAUUAUGGCUCAGAUUGAACGCUGGCGGCAGGCCUAACACAUGCAAGUCGAGCGGAAACGAGUUAACUGAACCUUCGGGGAACGUUAACGCCGUCGAGCGGCGGACGGGUGAGUAAUGCCUAGGAAAUUGCCCUGAUGUGGGGGAUAACCAUUGGAAACGAUGGCUAAUACCGCAUGAUGCCUACGGGCCAAAGAGGGGGACCUUCGGGCCUCUCGCGUCAGGAUAUGCCUAGGUGGGAUUAGCUAGUUGGUGAGGUAAGGGCUCACCAAGGCGACGAUCCCUAGCUGGUCUGAGAGGAUGAUCAGCCACACUGGAACUGAGACACGG